rnacentral:rRNA from 1 species
UACGAAGGGGGCUAGCGUUGUUCGGAAUUACUGGGCGUAAAGCGCGCGCAGGCGGCUCUUCAAGUCAGGGGUGAAAGCCCAGAGCUCAACUCUGGAACUGCCUUUGAGACUGUAGAGCUUGAGUACGGGAGAGGUGAGUGGAAUUCCCAGUGUAGAGGUGAAAUUCGUAGAUAUUGGGAAGAACACCGGUGGCGAAGGCGGCUCACUGGCCCGGUACUGACGCUGAGGUGCGAAAGCGUGGGGAGCAAACAGG